CCUUCCUCAACACAUCGCCAGAUCGUAGAAUAUACUACACAGUCAGUCUUGCUUCAACUACAAUAUUGCUACUUGUCUGUUUGCAAUCUUGUUUAAGUAUCAUUGCCUGGACCCGACUCCUGCCUCUACACCACUCCCCCAUAUCUGGACCUCAAUCUGAAGAGAUACCUGGACGCCUUGUCGGACUGGAAUCUCCUCCCCAGAAUUCUGGACUUUCUUCGGACCUCACUGCCAACUCGUCUGCCUGGCUCAGCACAUUCCAAGCCCCUCUGGACCACUUGGACUUUCCCUAAAAGCCAUUUGACUCUGCUCCCUGCACAUUCUAUAUUUUGUAAAUAAACACUGGCUUUUACUCAUUGGCCUGAGCAAAAAGAGCUGAAAGGAUGCAAGACAGAUGCUGAGCUGGCAUUUCUGCUGUUGGACUCCGCCAGCCACUUGUCUUCUAUGGCAGAGCUCAGCCGGUCCAAUCCCCUCAACAGAUGCAAGACUUCCACUGUGUUCAGCUGCCAGGACGAUGGAGGUCUUCCAAUUUGACGCCUCUCCUUACUAGAACUCGCCUCUGGGCAGUGUAGAUGAAGAUUGUGAAGUUACAGUUACGAGGACAUCGGAGUGCGGCUGCAGGCGACCAUGGAGAAGGAGCGAUCUGACACGAGUGUUGCGCAGACAGAUUUGACAGACUCUGCACUGAUCAAAUAAAUUAAAUUAAAUAAACUGUAUACCAGAUCAUCAUGAUAUACCCACUGUUACAUCCCCACAGUCAACGCGUUUUUCAUAAAUAAAAAUAAUACAUGAUAA